rnacentral:rRNA from 1 species
GCCUAAAGAAAAGCUCGCGGCUGAUUAGCUUGUUGGUAAGGUAAUGGCUUACCAAGGCGACGAUCAGUAUCUGGUUUGAGAGGACGAUCAGACACACUGGAACUGAGACACGGUCCAGACUCCUACGGGAGGCAGCAGUGGGGAAUUUUCCGCAAUGGGCGAAAGCCUGACGGAGCAAUACCGCGUGAGGGAAGACGGCCUAUGGGUUGUAAACCUCUUUUUUCAGGGAGGAACAAAAUGACGUGUACCUGAAGAAUAAGCAUCGGCUAACUCCGUGCCAGCAGCCGCGGUAAGACGGAGGAUGCAAGUGUUAUCCGGAAUCACUGGGCGUAAAGCGUCUGUAGGUGGUUUGUUAAGUCAACUGUUAAAUCUUGAGGCUCAACUUCAAAUCAGCAGUCGAAACUAUCAGACUAGAGUAUAGUAGGGGUAAAGGGAAUUUCCAGUGGAGCGGUGAAAUGCGUAGAUAUUG